rnacentral:rRNA from 1 species
AUUGAACGCUGGCGGCAGGCCUAACACAUGCAGGUCGAGCGGGGUUUUCGGACCUAGCGGCGGACGGGUGAGCAAUGCGUAGGAAGCUACCCGAUAGAGGGGGAUACCAGUUGGAAACGACUGUUAAUACCGCAUAAUGUCUACGGACCAAAGUGUGGGACCUUCGGGCCACAUGCUAUCGGAUGCGCCUACGUGGGAUUAGCUAGUUGGUGGGGUAAUGGCUCACCAAGGCGACGAUCCCUAGCUGGAUUGAGAGAAUGAUCAGCCACACUGGAACUGAGACACGGUCCAGACUCCUACGGGAGGCAGCAGUGGGGAAUAUUGGACAAUGGGCGCAAGCCUGAUCCAGCCAUGCCGCGUGUGUGAAGAAGGCCUUCGGGUUGUAAAGCACUUUCAGUAGGGAGGAAGGGUGUUGUGUUAAUAGCACAGCAUUUUGACGUUACCUACAGAAGAAGCACCGGCUAACUCUGUGCCAGCAGCCGCAGUAA